rnacentral:rRNA from 1 species
GCCUAAUCACAAAACUAAUAUCUCAAUCCACCACCAACACCGAAUACUUCUAUAAUGCUAUAGAAAAUUUUAUGUUAAAACUAGUAACAAGAAGCAAACCUUCUCUUAAAUGUGGAUGUAAAUCAGAAAGGACAGACCACUGAUAUUUAACACCCUUGAAUCUAAAGUAACAACUAAUCAAGAAAACCCUACUCUAACUAACGUUAACCUAACACAAGAACAUUUUAAGAAAGAUUAAAAGAAUAAGAAGGAACUCGGCAAAUUUUAACCUCGCCUGUUUACCAAAAACAUCGCCUCUUGGCCCGCCCCCAUAAGAGGUCCAGCCUGCCCAGUGACUCUGUUUAACGGCCGCGGUAUCCUAACCGUGCGAAGGUAGCGUAAUCACUUGUUCUUUAAAUAAGGACUAGUAUGAAUGGCAUCACGAGGGUUACACUGUCUCCUUUUUCCAAUCAGUGAAAUUAAUCUCCCCGUGAAGAAGCGGGAAUUAACCUAUAAGACGAGAAGACCCUAUGGAGCUUUAAACAAUACAGCAUUUAUCUUACAAAUUUCUAAAGACAAACUUUACUAGGUAAAAUGGCUGUAAGUUUUUGGUUGGGGUGACCGCGGAGCAUAGUCUAACCUCCUUGUUGAAAAAAUCUUAUUUUAAGCCCAGAAUUACUUAUCUAAGCAUCAACAUUUUGACAUCCAUUGACCCAAUUAUAUUGAACAACGAACCAAGUUACCCUAGGGAUAACAGCGCAAUCCACUUUAAGAGCCCAUAUCGACAAGUGGGUUUACGACCUCGAUGUUGGAUCAGGGUUUCCAAGUGGUGCAGCCGCUACUA